rnacentral:rRNA from 1 species
CACAUGCAAGUCGAGCGAAUGAGGGGAGCUUGCUCCCUGAUUUAGCGGCGGACGGGUGAGUAAUGCGUAGGAAGCUGCCCGAUAGAGGGGGAUACCAGUUGGAAACGACUGUUAAUACCGCAUAAUGUCUACGGACCAAAGUAUGGGACCUUCGGGCCAUACGCUAUCGGAUGCGCCUACGUGGGAUUAGCUAGUUGGUGUGGUAAUGGCGCACCAAGGCGACGAUCCCUAGCUGGUUUGAGAGGAUGAUCAGCCACACUGGGACUGAGACACGGCCCAGACUCCUACGGGAGGCAGCAGUGGGGAAUAUUGGACAAUGGGCGCAAGCCUGAUCCAGCCAUGCCGCGUGUGUGAAGAAGGCCUUCGGGUUGUAAAGCACUUUCAGCGAGGAGGAAGGGUUGGUAGUUAAUAGCUGCUAAUUUUGACGUACUCGCAGCGUAAAGCGCACGCAGGCGGCUUGUUAAGUCGGAUGUGAAAGCCCCGGGCUCAACCUGGGAAUUGCAUCGAUUCGAUACUGGCAAGCUAGAGUAUGUGAGAGGGGGGUAGAAUUCCAAGUGUAGCGGUGAAAUGCGUAGAGAUUUGGAGGAAUACCAGUGGCGAAGGCGGCCCCCUGGCACAAUACUGACGCUCAGGUGCGAAAGCGUGGGGAGCAAACAGGAUUAGAUACCCUGGUAGUCCACGCCGUAAACGAUGUCUACUAGAUGUUCGUGGUCUUGUACCGUGAGUAUCGCAGCUAACGCAUUAAGUAGACCGCCUGGGGAGUACGGUCGCAGAUUAACUCAAAUGAAUUGACGGGGGCCCGCACAACGGUGGAGCAUGUGGUUAAUUCGACGCAACGCGAAGAACCUUACCUACUCUUGACAUCUACGGAAGUUAGCAGAGAUGCCUGAUGUGCCUNUCGGGAACCGUAAGACAGGUNGCUUGCAUGGGCUUGUCGUCAGCUUCGUGUUGUGAAAUGUUGGGUUAAGUCCCGCAACGAGCGCAACCCUUUAUCCUUUAGUUUGCCAGCACGUNAUGGUGGGAACUCUAGGGAGACUGCCGGUGAUAAACCGGAGGAAGGUGGGGACGACGUCAAGUCAUCAUGGCCCUUACGAGUAGGGCUACACACGUGCUACAAUGGUACGUACAGAGGGAGGCAAGCUGGCGACAGUGAGCGGAUCUCACAAAGCGUAUCGUAGUCCGGAUUGGAGUCUGCAACUCGACUCCAUGAAGUCGGAAUCGCUAGUAAUCGUGAAUCAGAAUGUCACGGUGAAUACGUUCCCGGGCCUUGUACACACCGCCCGUCACACCAUGGGAGUGGGUUGCAAAAGAAGUAGGUAGCUUAACCUUCGGGAGGCGCUUACCACUUUGGAUCAUGAUG